AUUUAUGGAGAGUUUGAUCCUGGCUCAGGACGAACGCUGGCGGCGUGCUUAACACAUGCAAGUCGAACGGUGAUGUCAGAGCUUGCUCUGGCGGAUCAGUGGCGAACGGGUGAGUAACACGUGAGUAACCUGCCCCCGACUCUGGGAUAACUGCUAGAAAUGGUAGCUAAUACCGGAUAUGAUGAUUGGCCGCAUGGUCUGGUCGUGGAAAGAAUUUCGGUUGGGGAUGGACUCGCGGCCUAUCAGGUUGUUGGUGAGGUAAUGGCUCACCAAGCCUACGACGGGUAGCCGGCCUGAGAGGGUGACCGGCCACACUGGGACUGAGACACGGCCCAGACUCCUACGGGAGGCAGCAGUGGGGAAUAUUGCACAAUGGGCGCAAGCCUGAUGCAGCAACGCCGCGUGAGGGAUGACGGCCUUCGGGUUGUAAACCUCUUUUAGUAGGGAAGAAGCGAAAGUGACGGUACCUGCAGAAAAAGCACCGGCUAACUACGUGCCAGCAGCCGCGGUAAUACGUAGGGUGCAAGCGUUGUCCGGAAUUAUUGGGCGUAAAGAGCUCGUAGGCGGUUUGUCGCGUCUGCUGUGAAAUCCCGAGGCUCAACCUCGGGUCUGCAGUGGGUACGGGCAGACUAGAGUGCGGUAGGGGAGAUUGGAAUUCCUGGUGUAGCGGUGGAAUGCGCAGAUAUCAGGAGGAACACCGAUGGCGAAGGCAGAUCUCUGGGCCGUAACUGACGCUGAGGAGCGAAAGCAUGGGGAGCGAACAGGAUUAGAUACCCUGGUAGUCCAUGCCGUAAACGUUGGGAACUAGAUGUGGGGACCAUUCCACGGUCUCCGUGUCGCAGCUAACGCAUUAAGUUCCCCGCCUGGGGAGUACGGCCGCAAGGCUAAAACUCAAAGGAAUUGACGGGGGCCCGCACAAGCGGCGGAGCAUGCGGAUUAAUUCGAUGCAACGCGAAGAACCUUACCAAGGCUUGACAUAUACCGGAAACAUGCAGAGAUGUGUGCCCCGCAAGGUCGGUAUACAGGUGGUGCAUGGUUGUCGUCAGCUCGUGUCGUGAGAUGUUGGGUUAAGUCCCGCAACGAGCGCAACCCUCGUUCUAUGUUGCCAGCACGUAAUGGUGGGAACUCAUAGGAGACUGCCGGGGUCAACUCGGAGGAAGGUGGGGAUGACGUCAAAUCAUCAUGCCCCUUAUGUCUUGGGCUUCACGCAUGCUACAAUGGCCGGUACAAAGGGCUGCGAUACCGUAAGGUGGAGCGAAUCCCAAAAAGCCGGUCUCAGUUCGGAUUGAGGUCUGCAACUCGACCUCAUGAAGUCGGAGUCGCUAGUAAUCGCAGAUCAGCAACGCUGCGGUGAAUACGUUCCCGGGCCUUGUACACACCGCCCGUCAAGUCAUGAAAGUCGGUAACACCCGAAGCCAGUGGCCUAACCGCAAGGGAGGAGCUGUCGAAGGUGGGAUCGGUGAUUAGGACUAAGUCGUAACAAGGUAGCCGUACCGGAAGGUGCGGCUGGAUCACCUCCUUUCUAAGGA
rnacentral:rRNA from 1 species